rnacentral:rRNA from 1 species
AUACGUAGGGUGCAAGCGUUAAUCGGAAUUACUGGGCGUAAAGCGUGCGCAGGCGGUUUUGUAAGACAGAGGUGAAAUCCCCGGGCUCAACCUGGGAACUGCCAUUGUGACUGCAAGGCUGGAGUGCGGCAGAGGGGGAUGGAAUUCCGCGUGUAGCAGUGAAAUGCGGAGAUAUGCGGAGGAACCCCGAUGGCGAAGGCAAUCCACUGGGCCUGCACUGACGCUCAUGCACGAAAGCGUGGGGAGCAAACAGGAUUAGAUUCCCUGGUAGUCCACGCCCUAAACGAUGUCAACUGGUUGUUGGGAAUUUAUUUUCUCAGUUACGAAGCUAACGUGUGAAGUUGCCCGCCUGGGGAGUACGGCCGCAAGGUUAAAACUCAAAGGAAUUGACGGGG